AGUGGCAGGCUCAGAGAAGCCUCAGAGAAAGCUGGCUGUUCUGAGAAGCAAUUCCCAUUGUUGCAUUCGCUAAAACUUCUGGGCCCCUGAGGUAUACAAGGGAGUGUCUGAGUUGUGACAGAAAGGCGUGGGUGUUAACCAUCACCAGAGCUGGAUCAGCACAGAAACAUGGAUCUGCUGUGGUGGGUAAGAGCAGCUCUUCCAGCUGUAUUGUACAUGAAUUUUCCUGAAGCUGGGCACAUGGCCGGUGCUGCAAUCCAGCAGCUGAAGAGGGAAAGCUGCCUUGUGAUGGUGGAGGGGCUUUUUCCUGUCAGAGGAACUCGUUUCUUGUGCCGUGAGCGAGGAUCUCCGGAGGGAAAGCAAGCUGAAAACGUCUUUGAGCAGCCUCUUCUCUUCUGCCCUCCUGGUGCCGCUUGAAAAUGAGAAGAAAAGGGUGGGGGGGUGGAAGAUUAAAAAAAAAAUAAUAAAGAAAAGAGAAAUAACCUCAAAAAGGAAGACUCUUCCAGAGCCCAAACAAUCAGCGGGACAAUAGGAGAUGAGGAUUGCAGCUCUGCUCCCGCCGGACGGGAAGCCCUCAGCGCUGGGCUCGGCGCUGGCCUGGGUGAUGAGCUGAAAAGCUCCCUGCCCACGCUGCACACAAAGCCUGGCCACAGGGCAGAGGUGAAAGCAGCUGGGAGCCGGCUCUGGAAUGUGUUCCCCGCCGGGAUCGUGUGGCACUGCCGAGCACGGUGACACCGGGGCAGCAGGCCGGCCUGACCCCGGGCCCGGCCCUCGCGGCCUGUGCUGAGCCUCAGUCCAACAAACCCCACCGGCAGCUUUCACAAAAACCCCUCACACCUGGCACUGUCAUCUGUGACCUCCUUCUCUUUGCUACCAAAACACAACGUGGGAGAGUCAAGGAUCGUUAGCUGACGAGGCAAAACUGCCCCUUUCCUUGCUCUUUUAUUUCUAUUUCUAUUUCUCCCGUGAGUACCCCGUGCUUGGAGGCGGCGGCUGCUCGUGAUCCUUCCUGUGGCCAGGACAGGCUUCUGCGAGAGCUUGGGAACAAAUGAUAACAGAAUUACCUGCAGAUUCCUCAUGCCAGAACUCCUUCCCUGCCCAGAGAGCCCCACAGAACCUCUGGGGUCUGGGUAACGCUGUCAGCCCAUCUCUUCCCACAUUUUUGGCGAGGAGGAAGGAUUUGCAGGCACCAGGGUCCAGGAGAAAUCCAUUAGCAGCCCUCAGUGAAGCUCCUGAGGGUCCCCGGCUGUGCUGCACCAGCCAGGGGCCUUUGGCUUCUGGAAAAGGGCAUCUUCCUCAGCAGGGAAGAAAAAAGAUGGAUCUGCACCUCUCUAUUUUUUUUUUUCUAGGCAAGCUAAAGAAAAGUUGAUAGAAAAAACGUAUGCUUUAAAACCUAAAGAGUCAAGGGUCCAUUUGGUAGAUUUUCUUUUGAGUUUUGAGCUUUCUGGGGUUUAUCAUUAUUUUAUUUGGUGGUUGGAUUUAUUUUUCUUUAUUUUUUUUUUU